rnacentral:rRNA from 1 species
UACGGAAGGCAGCAGUGGGGAAUAUUGCACAAUGGGCGCAAGCCUGAUGCAGCCAUGCCGCGUGUAUGAAAAAGGCCUUCGGGUUGUAAAGUACUUUCAGUCGUGAGGAAGGUGUUAAGGUUAAUAACCUUAGCAAUUGACGUUAGCGACAGAAGAAGCACCGGCUAACUCCGUGCCAGCAGCCGCGGUAAUACGGAGGGUGCGAGCGUUAAUCGGAAUUACUGGGCGUAAAGGGCACGCAGGCGGUUAAUUAAGUUGGAUGUGAAAUCCCCGGGCUUAACCUGGGAAUGGCAUUCAAGACUGGUUAGCUAGAGUCUUGUAGAGGGGGUAGAAUUCCAUGUGUAGCGGUGAAAUGCGUAGAGAUGUGGAGGAAUACCGGCGGCGAAGGCGGCCCCGUGGACAAAGGACUGACGCUCAUGUGCGAAAGCGUGGGGAGCAAACAGGGAUUAGAUACC